AUCACAUAGACGUCAACAGUUUAUUUUUUCAAACACAGGGGAGGCAGGGAUAGUUAAACACACAGUCCUAGGAAACAAAUCUAACCUUAAUUAGUUCUAAUGUUUACUGAUUAAUGCAGUGUAGAAAAUUUCAAUGUAGGACUGCCCACCCUGCCACCCCGGGUUUGGUGCCUUUUUUCCCAAUAUAGUUUUGUUUCAAUACAAUUUUGCACCAAUUUAAAAAUCUCUAUUACCCCAUCUUAAAAGUAUUAGUUGCAAUCUUGUAAUAUUUUCUGAUUGUGCAAAAAUUCCAAGCAUAAUAGUGUUUCACACCACUUAAAUUAGACACAAACCAGUAAAUGUAAGAUAUAAUAGAAGGUAAAACACGGCAACACUGCAAGUGGUUAAACCGCACAAACUGAAUGUGUUGGAAAGUUAAUGAGGUGUAAGAUGAGAAUACAAAUAUUGCUAAUGGAACUUUAAAUCUACGCACUUGCAUUUGGCUGGCUGUGCAAAGAACAAGCUAACUAUAACACUUGGGUGGCUGGAAAGUGACAACGGUAUCAACAAUUCUGAGCUGACAAAGCAGAUAUACUGAAGUACACACACUUUUAAACAUAGAAUUGUAGAAUAACAUACAACAACUGGAUAAAGCAUAUAAUACUGACUUGUUUAUACACAAUGCUUAGUAACUGUAUCCACAUACAACAAAAAGUUAAUUUGUUUUAUUACAAUUAAACAGUUACAGCAACCAACUAUAAAGCAGAGUAACUUACUCUAUAACGAAUCCUUAUAUUACUUUGUAUACAGAGACACUGAGUAGCAUUACAAAUCUUGUGUCAUUUAAAUACCACUUAAUAAACUGACAGCAAACACAAACCGGACGUUUUAUCUAAAUAUUGAUAAGUCUUACUUCAGAGAAACUUGAGGCUUAAAAUCACAAUCUUAUAAAAAAUUCUCCCACACUAACUUGAACUAUAUUGUCCUAACUUAAUGUGCAACUAAAUAUAAAGACAGUUGGGUUAAAAUUGGAAUUCUUACAUCAAUAACUGAAAGUGAUACAAAGAAAGAACGAGUGGAGAUAUAUAUUACAUUGUUUAUACGAGCAUGCACCCCAGACACAUAUUCUAUAUAUAGGACGCAGACUUACUAAAAAUAAUUGGCAUUAGGAAAUCAUGUGCAAUCUAAUAAUAAAUAUUAUAUGCCCGCAGAUUAACCUUUUUUUCUUGUAACAAUUUUUUUCAUUAAUACAAAUGAAAACUACCUAAACCACUGCAUAACACUCUAUCUGUUCUAUUUAUAUAGUUUAACAUCGCUGAUAGACAUAUUUAAACUACAUUCUCACUUAAAUGCAACAUUAAUAUAUAUAAUAUUUUUUAAGCUUAAAUGCAAUAUCAAUAUAAGCAAAUACACAAUCCACAACUGGACAGGCCAACCCUCAAAUUUUCUACACUGCAUUAAUCAAUAAACAUUACAACCAGUAAGUUUAGAUUUGUUUCAAAGAAAUGUGUGUCUAACUCUCCCUGCCUCCCCUGUGUUUUAAGAUUGCACACUCUCUAUAAAUCUGCACCUCACAAUAACACCCAUAAAGCUUUAUAUAACCACCCACCAUGAGUUAGUAAAAUAACAAACAAAAUAAUUUAUCGUUCAAUCGGUCUAAGCAAAUCAAUACUUAAUAUUAUCCAAUACAAACAAAAUUAAAUUCCACAGCAGCAGAUUAAUUUUACAAUCGUAGAUAAGUCACGAAAUUAAAUCACUCAAAGGUUUGAAAAACAUAACUAUAUAUAUAUAGCAUGAUGGGGGAAAACGGGACACCUUUUAUUCUAUUUUCUCUUUCCACUU